rnacentral:rRNA from 1 species
ACAGGGGAAGUCGGUGAUCCUAUGCUGCCAAGAAAAUCUUCUAGCGAGGUUCGAGCCGCCCGUACCCCAAACCGACUCAGGUGGUUAGGUAGAGAAUACCAAGGCGAUCGAGUGAAUCGUGGUUAAGGAAUUCGGCAAAAUACCCCCGUAACUUCGGGAGAAGGGGGGCCCAGAGGGUGACGGGACUUGCUCCCCGAGCCUGAACGGCCGCAGAGACCAGGGAGAAGCGACUGUUUACUAAGAACACAGGUCCGUGCCAAGUCGCAAGACGAUGUAUACGGACUGACGCCUGCCCGGUGCUGGAACGUUAAGGGGACCGGUUAGCCUCACGGCGAAGCUGAGAACUUAAGCGCCAGUAAACGGCGGUGGUAACUAUAACCAUCCUAAGGUAGCGAAAUUCCUUGUCGGGUAAGUUCCGACCUGCACGAAUGGCGUAACGAUUUCUCCACUGUCUCAACCACGAACUCGGCGAAAUUGCACUACGAGUAAAGAUGCUCGUUACGCGCAGAAGGACGGAAAGACCCCGGGACCUUUACUACAGCUUGGUAUUGGUGUUCGGUACGGCUUGUGUAGGAUAGGUGGGAGACUGAGAAGCUGACACGCCAGUGUCGGUGGAGUCAACGUUGAAAUACCACUCUGGUCGUUCUGGAUAUCUAACCUAGGUCCGUGAUCCGGAUCAGGGACAGUGCCUGGUGGGUAGUUUAACUGGGGCGGUUGCCUCCUAAAAGGUAACGGAGGCGCCCAAAGGUUCCCUCAGCCUGGUUGGCAAUCAGGUUUUGAGUGUAAGUGCACAAGGGAGCUUGACUGUGAGACUGACAAGUCGAACAGGGACGAAAGUCGGGACUAGUGAUCCGGCGGUGGCUUGUGGAAGCGCCGUCGCUCAACGGAUAAAAGGUACCCCGGGGAUAACAGGCUGAUCUUGCCCAAGAGUCCAUAUCGACGGCAUGGUUUGGCACCUCGAUGUCGGCUCGUCGCAUCCUGGGGCUGGAGUAGGUCCCAAGGGUUGGGCUGUUCGCCCAUUAAAGCGGUACGCGAGCUGGGUUUAGAACGUCGUGAGACAGUUCGGUCCCUAUCCUCUGCGCGCGCAGGAAACUUGAGAAGGGCUGUCCCUAGUACGAGAGGACCGGGAUGGACGAACCUCUGGUGUGUCAGUUGUUCUGCCAAGAGCACCGCUGAUUAGCUACGUUCGGGAGUGAUAACCGCUGAAAGCAUCUAGGCGGGAAGCAUGCUUCAAGAUGAGGUUUCCAUGGGGUUUACCCCGAGAGGCUCCCAGCUAGACUACUGGGUUGAUAGGCCGGAUGUGGAAGUGCGGUAACGCAUGGAGCUGACCGGUACUAAUAAGCC